rnacentral:rRNA from 1 species
AUGGGGGGAACCCUGAUCCAGCCAUGCCGCGUGUGUGAAGAAGGCCUUUUGGUUGUAAAGCACUUUAAGCGAGGAGGAGGCUACUCUAGUUAAUACCUAGGGAUAGUGGACGUUACUCGCAGAAUAAGCACCGGCUAACUCUGUGCCAGCAGCCGCGGUAAUACAGAGGGUGCAAGCGUUAAUCGGAUUUACUGGGCGUAAAGCGCGCGUAGGUGGCCAAUUAAGUCAAAUGUGAAAUCCCCGAGCUUAACUUGGGAAUUGCAUUCGAUACUGGUUGGCUAGAGUAUGGGAGAGGAUGGUAGAAUUCCAGGUGUAGCGGUGAAAUGCGUAGAGAUCUGGAGGAAUACCGAUGGCGAAGGCAGCCAUCUGGCCUAAUACUGACACUGAGGUGCGAAAGCAUGGGGAGCAAACAGGAUUAGAUACCCUGGUAGUCCAUGCCGUAAACGAUGUCUACUAGCCGUUGGGGCCUUUGAGGCUUUAGUGGCGCAGCUAACGCGAUAAGUAGACCGCCUGGGGAGUACGGUCGCAAGACUA